rnacentral:rRNA from 1 species
AUUGAACGCUGGCGGCAGGCCUAACACAUGCAAGUCGAACGGUAACAGGAAUCAGCUUGCUGAUUUGCUGACGAGUGGCGGACGGGUGAGUAAUGUCUGGGAAACUGCCUGAUGGAGGGGGGUAACUACUGGAAACGGUAGCUAAUACCGCAUAACGUCGCAAGACCAAAGAGGGGGACCUUCGGGCCUCUUGCCAUCGGAUGUGCCCAGAUGGGAUUAGCUAGUAGGUGGGGUAAAGGCUCACCUAGGCGACGAUCCCUAGCUGGUCUGAGAGGAUGACCAGCCACACUGGAACUGAGACACGGUCCAGACUCCUACGGGAGGCAGCAGUGGGGAAUAUUGCACAAUGGGCGCAAGCCUGAUGCAGCCAUGCCGCGUGUAUGAAGAAGGCCUUCGGGUUGUAAAGUACUUUCAGCGGGGAGGAAGGGAGUAAAGUUAAUACCUUUGCUCAUUGACGUUACCCGCAGAAGAAGCACCGGCUAACUCCGUG